UACGUAGGGUGCAAGCGUUGUCUGGAAUUAUUGGGCGUAAAGAGCGUGUAGGCGGCUAGGUAGGUCCGUUGUGAAAACUCGAGGCUCAACCUCGAGACGCCGAUGGAAACCAUCUAGCUAGAGUCCGGAAGAGGAGAGUGGAAUUCCUGGUGUAGCGGUGAAAUGCGCAGAUAUCAGGAAGAACACCCGUGGCUAAGGCGGCUCUCUAGUACGGUACUGACGCUGAGACGCGAAAGCGUGGGGAGCGAACAGG
rnacentral:rRNA from 1 species